AUGUCCAUCCUAAUCUGUAUUUACUUUUUGCUUGGCACUACCUGUGGCCUGCCAGGUUUCGCUUGUGGACUAGAACACUGUAGAAGCCUGACCUGAGUGGGUGAGCAAGGCCUUCAUGGGCUCAUGCCAGGGAUGCUUCUGGACACUG
rnacentral:snoRNA from 1 species